rnacentral:rRNA from 1 species
CAAUAGCGUAUAUUAAAGUUGUUGCGGUUAAAAAGCUCGUAGUUGGAUUUCUGCUUUGGACGACCGGUCCGCCCUGUGGGUUGGCAUCUGGAUCGGCCUGGGCAUCUUCUUGGGGAACGUAGCUGCACUUGACUGUGUGGUGCGGUAUCCAGGACUUUUACCUUGAGGAAAUUAGAGUGUUUCAAGCAGGCGCACGCCUUGAAUACAUUAGCAUGGAAUAAUAAGAUAGGACCUCGGUUCUAUUUUGUUGGUUUCUAGAGCUGAGGUAAUGAUUAAUAGGGAUAGUUGGGGGCAUUCGUAUUUAACUGUCAGAGGUGAAAUUCUUGGACUUGUUAAAGACGGACUACUGCGAAAGCAUUUGCCAAGGAUGUUUUCAUUGA